rnacentral:lncRNA from 1 species
GUCACAACUGAAGGGGGCAGUACUGGCAUCUAGUGGGUAAAGCGAACUAUUCCACGGUGCACAAAACAGUCUUCUGCAGCAAGCAAAUGUUCAGACCAAAAUGUCAGUAGUACUGAGGCUGACUCAGUACUGUGGGCUAGACUAUGUGAAGAAAACACAUAAACCCCCCAUUCAGGGGCUUAACAUGCUGUUUUUGUUUUUGUUUUCUCACUUUUGCAAGAUCUAAUGGGAAUGUUUGCAGCUUGUCACUUUUCUGAGAGAUGCUUCUCCAAAUAGUAUCCGAAGAAUGCCGACUUCCAAGCUUCUUCCACCAUGUGAACUGCUGACUUAGAAGCCAUAAUUUCCAACUAGAAAUAUAGGUGAAAGAAUACAUGGAUGAUCGUGCCCAUCUCUCAGGACUCAAGCCCAGAAAUGAGAGUUUUGCUCUUGUUGCCCAGACUGGAGUGGAAUGGCAUGAUCUCAGCUCACUCACUCCACCUGUGAGUUUCAAGUGGUUCUCCUGCCUCAGCCUCCCAAGUAGGUGGGUUACAGGUGCCUACCAUCACAGCAAGCUAUUUUUUUUUUUGUACUUUUAGUAGAGACAGGGUUUUACCAUGUUGGUCAGGCUGGUCUGGAACUCCUGCCCUCAAGGGAUCCAUUUGCCUCAGCCUCCCAAAGUGCUGGGAUUAUAGGUGUGAGCCACUGCACCCAGCCUGAAGCAUUUUUUAAUAUCACCUGGAUGCAUGAACAAAGACUAAUGGGUUAAAUGAAAUGAGAAUAUGUAAUCUCAAGGACUGAUAUCAACUUCGUGGGAGGUUUCUUAGGUGUGCCUAAUUUAAUAUUUUAAUCCAGAAAGUAGACAAAAUUUGAUGAAGGGCUAAUAUCCAGAAUCUACAAAGAACCAAAACAGAUUCACAAGAAAAAAACAAAUGAACCCAUUCAAAAGUGGGUGAAGGAUAUGAACAGACACUUUUUAAAAGAAGACAUAUAUAAAUUCCACAAACAUAUGAACAAAUGCUCGUC